GGUUGCCAGGGGUAUGGCUGGUCCUCAGCCCCUCCUCUCUUAGGGGCCCUCACAGGAGUUGCGAAUAAUAGCAAUGGCAGUAAUAGUAACAUAGUGCGCACAGCAGCAGCGGCGGGGACAUCUGUGCCAGGACUUUGUGAAGUGCUUCCUAUCUCUCUGCAUCCUCACCACCCACGCCUCUGAGUAGGUGCUGUCACCGUCCCCACCUCACAGACCAAGAAACUGAGGUUGAGGGAAAGAAGCCCCUUGCCCCAGGGAGCCAGGUGGGAUCCAUGUGACAUCCUGGCCCCACUCUGGACCUCCUCUCCCUGGGGUACCUCGGGCACAGGAGGAGGCCACGGGCAUUUGGCCAACAGCUCCCCAGAGCUGCUUUCCUCCUAAGACCCACGCCUCCUCCUCAGGGACCAGCCUGUACCGUGGGAAGGUGGAGGGAGGAAAAUUCUCGGCGCCACAGGCAGCCCAUACGCUUCCAGUCACUGCUGUGGUUCCCCAUUUUGAAUAAAGCAGCAAACAUGUGCCCGUGAUCCCCAGGGAGCCCAGAAGCCUCCAGAACCUGGAGGUUCUUCCGCAGCGGGCUCCAAGCUGUCCCUGUGCCGAAGGAGAUGCAUUGGCCUUUAGUGUUUCUGGAAUGGGGUUCACUCCCCACACCGGGGCUCCCAUCCCACACCAUCUGCCCCAGCCUCAGAUCCACUAUUCACUUUGGGUUUCCAUCUGGUUCUGGUUUUGGGGGGUGGAGGGAGGGCGGGUUUAGGGAGGAGCAGAGAGGGGGCACCGGAUGGAGGCAAAUCCAAGACAUUCACAACUUUUCUGGGUGCCCCAGACACGGGCAUCUCCCCACCUGCUGCCGCAUCCACAACCCCCAGGGCUGCUUUAUCAUCAAGGAACCUGCUUUCUGUUUUUUUUUGAAAUGGAGUCUUGCUCUGUCGCCCAGGCUGGAGUGCAGUGGCAUGAUCCUGGCUCACUACAACCUCCACCUCCCGGGUUCAAGCAAUUCUCCUGCCUCAGCCUCCCGAGUAGCUGGGAGUACAGGUGCACACCACCAUGCCUGGCUAAUUUUUGUAUUUUUAAUAGAGACGGGGUUUUGCCAUGUUGGCCAGGCUGGUCUCGAACACCUGACCUCAGGUGAUCCGCCCGCCUCAGCCUCCCAAAGUGCUGGGAUUACAGGUGUGAGCCAUCACACCCAACCAGGGAACCUGCUCUCUGAUGCCUGCUUGGACCUCAGUGUCCUAGGCAGAAAAGGAGCCAGCACUGAAACCAGCUCUCCCAGGGAUGCCAAUGCCACAUGGAACCCAGCUUUGCCGGAGCCCGGGGACUGGCUCAGAGUGUGGGUGCGAGUGCAUGUGCACGCUCUAGGCACGCAGGGAGUACCCAUCUGCAAUGCUCCAGGCUGCAAAUCUGAACGUGUCAGCCUUCCUCCCCAAGGUCGUCUUAGCCACAGACCUUCUAGAUGUCGUAAUUAAUCUCUAAUUUGAAUUUUUAACUUCAAACACCACAUUACAAAAACAGUUGUGUUUUAUAGAUGGUAUCUGCCAUUAUAUAUGGUUACCAUUUGUGCUGUGGAAAAUAAAGCAAGAUGCCUCCUUCUGCACAGGAGUGGCGGUCACAUCCAGCCAGAAGCUAGGUUCAGUGCAGUGGAUCAGCACUGUCCUUCCAGAGAGGGGAUCCCAGGUCGCCAGGCAGGGCUGGGCAGGGGAGAGGGAUCUGGGUCCUGUGUGCGGGCUGGGGGCGGGGUGUUGGGCUGGGUAACUUAUCUCCCUUUUGGAAAGCAUGGUUAGAUACCAGCAAAGCCGUGAGGCAAGCUCCUGACACCCAGAACUCUGUUCCUAAUCUCAGCUCCCCUUCCUGUGGGGCUUGGGGAAACCUCUCCCUCAGUUUUUCCAUCUGUGAAGGGAACGUGAUGGUCCUAAAUGGGACAUCUGCCCCUCCUCCCAGGUGUCUAGGGCGGGUGGGGGGGGUGGGAGAGAGAGAGAGAAAGCAAAUUGUUAUUUUUCCUUUUCUUUUCUUUUCUUUUUUUUUUUUUUUUGAGACGGAGUCUCGCUCUGUCACCCAGGCUGGAGUGCAGUGGCAUGAUCUCAGCGCACUGCAACCUCCGCCUCCCAGGUUCAAGCGAUUCUCCUGUGUCAGCCUCCGGAGUAGUUGGGAUUA
rnacentral:lncRNA from 1 species